AUUCCAGCUCCAAUAGCGUAUAUUAAAGUUGUUGCAGUUAAAAAGCUCGUAGUUGGAUUUCUGGUUCAGAGGGCUUGGCCCAUGGCCAAUUCUAGGUUCAUGAGUGCCGAUGCUUUCGUACCAUCCUUCCGGUGAUGAUUCAGGUCCCCUUCAUUGGGUCAGCCUGGUUGUUCCGGAUCUUUUACUUUGAAAAAAUUAGAGUGUUUAAAGCAAGCUGUGUGUUGAAUACAUUAGCAUGGAAUAAUAAUCUAGGACUUUGGUUCUAUUUUGUUGGUUUCUAGCGCCAAAGUAAUGAUUGAUAGGGAUAGUUGGGGGUGCUAGUAUUUACCGGCCAGAGGUGAAAUUCUUGGAUUCGGUAAAGACUAACUUAUGCGAAAGCAUUCACCAAGGAUGUCUUCAUUG
rnacentral:rRNA from 1 species